GACGAACGCUGGCGGCGCGCCUAAUACAUGCAAGUCGAACGCUUCUUUCCUCCCGAGUGCUUGCACUCAAUUGGAAAGAGGAGUGGCGGACGGGUGAGUAACACGUGGGUAACCUACCCAUCAGAGGGGGAUAACACUUGGAAACAGGUGCUAAUACCGCAUAACAGUUUAUGCCGCAUGGCAUAAGAGUGAAAGGCGCUUUCGGGUGUCGUUGAUGGAUGGACCCGCGGUGCAUUAGCUAGUUGGUGAGGUAACGGCUCACCAAGGCCACGAUGCAUAGCCGACCUGAGAGGGUGAUCGGCCACACUGGGACUGAGACACGGCCCAGACUCCUACGGGAGGCAGCAGUAGGGAAUCUUCGGCAAUGGACGAAAGUCUGACCGAGCAACGCCGCGUGAGUGAAGAAGGUUUUCGGAUCGUAAAACUCUGUUGUUAGAGAAGAACAAGGACGUUAGUAACUGAACGUCCCCUGACGGUAUCUAACCAGAAAGCCACGGCUAACUACGUG
rnacentral:rRNA from 1 species